GCGGGAGUGGCGGAAUGGCAGACGCACCAGCUUGAGGGGCUGGCGGGAGCAAUCCUGUGCAGGUUCAAGUCCUGUCUCCCGCAC
rnacentral:tRNA from 1 species